GAUAUAAGUUUUACACUUAAGUCUGUGUCUAAUCAGUGCUUACAAUGGUACGGUGUUGCCUUCAAAAUACCUACAAUCAUCAUCAGAAUAAAUCAAUUUGGGGGGUAACGUUACAUUUCCGCUAUUUCUAAAAAUAAAAUCGGGCGACCUUUUGUGUCCAAAAUGUUACGUCUCGAAAAAUCAAUUUUUUUACGAUAACGCUGUUUACUUUCACAUAUCGGUUGCGCAAAGGCGCCGGAAAAUAACUGCACACAUUAUUUGAUGACGUAGAACGCAUUCAACGAAUUUGUGUACACAAAAGCUGACAACAUGGCCGAAUCUUCGACACGAGUUCGGUGGAUGAAUGGCCGUGGGUCAUAUUCUUCAAGAAAUAUAAAGAUAAUGCAUGGGUUAUGAAUGAAAUAAGGCAUACCAUCCUUGAAUCAGAUAUCCAGAGAAAGUUGGAACCACCUAAAGUGUCCAAGCUAGGUCGUCGGCUACUUUACAGAUUUGAAAGUUACAAGGAAGACAAGUGAAGCAGAGAGAGAGGGAGAAAUACCAUGUUUGCAGUUUAGAGUUUGCUGUUGUUUUAGUCUGUGAAAAUCUCAGAAUAAAUAAUAUGUUAAUUAC